UAGGGAAUAUUGGACAAUGGGGGCAACCCUGAUCCAGCCAUGCCGCGUGAGUGAAGAAGGCCCUCGGGUUGUAAAGCUCUUUUGUCCGGAAAGAAAAGCUUCGGGUUAAUACCCCGGGGUUCUGACGGUACCGGAAGAAUAAGCACCGGCUAACUUCGUGCCAGCAGCCGCGGUAAAACGAAGGGUGCAAGCGUUAAUCGGAAUUACUGGGCGUAAAGCGUGCGUAGGUGGUUGUUUAAGUCUGAUGUGAAAGCCCUGGGCUCAACCUGGGAAUGGCAUUGGAAACUGGGCAGCUAGAGUGCGGUAGAGGGUAGUGGAAUUCCCGGUGUAGCAGUGAAAUGCGUAGAGAUCGGGAGGAACAUCUGUGGCGAAGGCGACUGCCUGGACCAGCACUGACACUGAGGCACGAAAGCGUGGGGAGCAAACA
rnacentral:rRNA from 1 species